rnacentral:rRNA from 1 species
UGGGGAAUUUUGGACAAUGGGCGAAAGCCUGAUCCAGCAAUGCCGCGUGUGUGAAGAAGGCCUUCGGGUUGUAAAGCACUUUUGUCCGGAAAGAAAUCCUUGGCUCUAAUACAGUCGGGGGAUGACGGUACCGGAAGAAUAAGCACCGGCUAACUACGUGCCAGCAGCCGCGGUAAUACGUAGGGUGCAAGCGUUAAUCGGAAUUACUGGGCGUAAAGCGUGCGCAGGCGGUUUGCUAAGACCGAUGUGAAAUCCCCGGGCUCAACCUGGGAACUGCAUUGGUGACUGGCAGGCUAGAGUAUGGCAGAGGGGGGUAGAAUUCCACGUGUAGCAGUGAAAUGCGUAGAGAUGUGGAGGAAUACCGAUGGCGAAGGCAGCCCCCUGGGCCAAUACUGACGCUCAUGCACGAAAGCGUGGGGAGCAAACAGGAUUAGAUACCCUGGUAGUCCACGCCCUAAAACGAUGUCAACUAGUUGUUGGGGAUUCAUUUCCUUAGUAACGUAGCUAACGCGUGAAGUUGACCGCCUGGGGAGUACGUCGCAAGAUUAAAACUCAAAGGAAUUGACGGGGUC